UUCCUCCACCAAACGUCCACCACAGUGAUACAAAGUCAUUGAGUGGCCGUACAAAAACCUCUCAGUGUAGAGAGACACGGCUCUCUGACUGUGACACAAACAAACUCAACAUCAACACUUCCUGUUUUUAAAAGAAUGAACUAUUUCAUAUCAUAUUGAUCAAACAGUGACACAAUUGUUCAGAAUUAGUCACAUUUUGACAGAUAGAAGUUCACAUCUGUCUAAAAGUCAAAGUGGAUUUGUUCUCACAUUGAAUGAAACAAGACAGAAGACGUUCUUAAAGAAAAUGUAUCCACAGUCAUCAAACCAAAUCCACCUUAAAAUGAUGACUGACUGUUAAUCAAUACUCUGAUAGUGAUUGAUCCAUUGAUAAACAGCAUGAUCAGAGUAAUCCAAGUCCCUGUUGGAGUCAGUCAGAGCAUUUCCAUAGAGAGCCACUUUGCAUCAGCAGCACCAUGCUCCAGUGCUCUGGGAGAGUUUAUAGUCCUGAGAGUUGAACACUGGAUGACUGACAGCUGUCCUUCAUGACAACAGAAGCCACAGAAAUCCUCCUCAUCAAAAACAUGACUUUGAUCUCCGUCCUCAUCUGGACUCUCCUCUGCUGCUGCUUCACAGAGUCCAGAGGCCAGGUCACAGUGACUCAGCCUGGAGCAGUGAGCUCUGCUGUGGGAGGCUCCGUCACCAUCAACUGUAGGACCAGUCAGAAUGUAUAUAAUGGAAACCAUUUAGCCUGGUACCAACAGAAAGAUGGAAAAACUCCUAAACUGCUCAUUUACUAUGCUAGCACUCGACCAUCAGGGAUUCCAGCUCGUUUUACAGGCAGUGGAUCAAACUCUGACUUCACUCUGACCAUCAGUGGAGUUCAGACUGAAGAUGCAGCAGUUUACUACUGUCAGAGUCUUCACUCUAUCAACAGUCAGUGGGUGUUCACACAGUGAAAAAGCAUUGUACAAAAACCUCCCUCAGUCAGAAACUGAAUUGACUGCUGCAGCUGGAAGCUACUGCAGAGACUGAUACACUUCACUGAACAUGUAACAAGUCCAAUGACAAAAAAAUAAUUUUGGUGUAAACGAGAAGAGACAAGUACUUGGAGGUUUUUAAAAGUCUGUUGGACUGAAUGUAUCAGAUUCUGGAAAGGCAAAGUUUAAAUUUGGGGUGUUUGUGACACUCAGGAAAAUGUCACCAUUUUACAGCCAUUUCUUUUUUAAUGCUUAAUGAUUGUUUUGUCACCUGUUACCUUAAAAUACGAAAGCGCUUUAUUUUGAUCCAAGUGUCACAGUCUUUUGGAGGAUCAGAGGUCUACAUCCAGACAGAAAGGUGUCCAGUGAAACAUUGAAGCAGUUUUGCUUCUGUAUCUGUAUGAAAGACAUCUGUUACAAACUCCUCAGUACUGGUGAGACCAAACUUUUGAAAAAAGGAGUGCAAAGUUGUUCAUUAAAUCUUUAAAAUCUA